rnacentral:precursor_RNA from 8 species
UUAUGAAGUGCGUUAUGAUACAUCACGUUCCCUUGUCACUUGUUCGUCCUGUUGGCUGCGUUUUCUCACUGGACGGAGAACUGAUAGGGCCCUGUGUGGAUCACGUGACGACCUCUCUUUU